rnacentral:rRNA from 1 species
UACGUAGGAGACGAGCGUUGUCCGGAGUUAUUGGGCGUAAAGAGCUCGUAGGCGGUUUGUUGCGUCGGCUGUGAAAUCCCGAGGCUCAACCUCGGGUCUGCAGUCGAUACGAGCAAACUAGAGUGUUGCAGGGGAGACUGGAAUUCCUGGUGUAGCGGUGAAAUGCGCAGAUAUCAGGAGGAACACCGGUGGCGAAGGCGGGUCUCUGGGCAACAACUGACGCUGAGGAGCGAAAGCGUGGGGAGCGAACAGG